rnacentral:piRNA from 1 species
UGGGCUAUGCUAGGGCUCCAGUUGCCUGGG